UAUCUCUGAACUAUAGAACAUUAUCUAUAAUCGAUUUUAAUUCAUGUCGGACACCCGAAGAAGUUCAUUUUUACUUCUCUCGUUCUUAAAUGAAAAAAUAAAAGAGGAGCUUGGGAAUCAUUUCAUUAGCCAAAACAAAGAGAGGUUAAAAAGCUGUUACUGAAAGCGUUGAAAGUGUUGUUGAAACUAGGAAAAUGUUGAAAGUUAUGAAACUCAAAGUGCUUGUCGAUCCAGAAGUUUCUGCUGAUACCCUUUUGCUGGAAACUUCACCACAGGACGAGGGGUAAGUUUUGGUGACAAAACGAAUCCGACGUUCCAAACCGAUUGUGAUGGACGGCACUCUCUCCAUAUAACAUUUAACUGGACAUCGAGUUGGCUUUGAUCUUACCAGUCAAAGUGUGCUCAGUGAUGUUGCCUUUGAUAUCGAACCCAUCGCCACCAUCGGCCAAAAAGCUAGGCAUCGCCACGUCAUAGAUUUCCUAAUGUCAACCUUGGGCUGGACCGGACUGUAGGCUGGAAUACGACAAUUGUUGCAUCGUGCCAAAAGCUCUACCACUCUAUCACCUGUGGGCCUAGCUAUGUCGUACGCAACUUGGAGACCUGUGGAUCAUUGCUCGAUAGAAAAAACAUUUAAAAGAAUUCGUGAAAGAAAAACCAUUUACCUGAAACCUGCAGAAAUCCACCGAAGGGAUCCAGAGCUGAUGGAUCGUAAUCAUGCACUGUAAACUCGAAAAUAUUCUUCAGCGUUUCACCGCUGAUUUUGACGAUGUCUACUGUAUUACUGAAAGGAGCGACUGAAAGAAGGUCACCGUACGUGAUGGAUCCUGCAAGACGGAAUCCACUUGUAGAUUUUUAAAAGAACUCGUCAUUAAGUGAAUUCACCAUUUUGGGCGCGCUCAUCGAUGGAUGCCCUGACUCCGCCGCCAUUGACGAGAGCGAUAGCCACUUUACUCCACUGACCCUCGCCUGCAAACUUGGUGAACUGCAUUAAAGCUAUAAACGGUUAUUCAAGGAUUGCCGUGGUAUCUUAUUAGCAUACCAAAUCAACGUAGGCGUCAGCAAUAAAAUUUCCAAGAUUGCAUUCAACCAUGCGACAGGACAGACGAUUACCAUCCAAGAAGACGAGCGUUUUUCCAACUUCUUUCUCUGACAAAGCUUCGACUUCUUUUCGAAAUGGGAUCAGUUCCUGCAGGACGUGUGGAUCUGCAUCGUGGAUGAAACGAUGGCAGAUGUGUAAUUUACGACCAGUAGGAUUUACAACUACAAUAGUACCUCGAGGUAUGGUCUUAUCCAUGAGAAUCGGUAGGCCAGCAGUAGCGAUCACAUCUCCAUCGUCGUUAAAAGUCACCAUUAAGUUGCCCAGAUAUUUGCCAAAGGCGAAUGCCUGAACGACGGGCACUUCCUUCCCAGACGGUUGCUUCACCAUGGUCGGAUAUGGACCUUGUGGAAUUUCGAUGGACGGAGCCGGACCUGCACGUUAAUGGAUUCGAGCUGAAAGUGAUUACACUAACAGCUUACCGUUCCAGAGAAAUGUGUUGGUAUGACCGCCUACCACCACGUCGAUAUCUGGCACCUGUUCAGCGAUUUCCAUAUCUUUGAGAUAACCCGCGUGACCGACUGCAAUUAGAAUAUUGACUCCAUCCUUUUUAAGGCGUUCUGCUUCUUCUCGAACGCCUUGAAUUUCGUCAAAGACUUUGACUGCGUCCAAGGUGGAGAUGUACUGCCAUUUGUGAUCAAGAGCCAAAAGAAGAUGUCAUUUAUAAUUUUCACAUCACCAAUUUUGUUAGAAAAAUGUUUUAUCACCGAUGUUUCAACCGUCAGGUAGCCAAUGAUGCCUACCCUGUGUCCACCUACUUGGACGACUACUGAUUUCGGAAUUUUCCCAUGAAGCCAAGAGUUCCAGGAAGAAAGUUCAAUCAGAGUUUACAGAGGCAUAAUUGAUUAAAAGAAAAGGUAUUUUUACCGGAUGGUUGGCUGCAUUCACGAACGGUGCCAGCCCCGCCACGCCAUCAUCAAAUUCAUGGUUGCCAAGAGACUACUCAGCACAAAAGGAUGAGGGAAAAAAAUCAAAAAUUAAUUGCUAAAAAUUUCUAAUCCCUACAUGUCGUGCCUGUAAACGUUUUGACAGCACAAUUGAUAAUAAUGAACGUUCAAUAUGUGCUGCCAGGCUUUCCGACGGAUGUGUACAAAGCAUAGGGCGUUUCCCCAUUCGUGGUUGUCUAAACCAGGAAAACGCGCUACAUCAAUAAUUAAGAAACAAAUUUAUCAACGUGAGUGUAAACAAACGGACCGUUAACGCGCUGCCACAUGGGUGGGAAAACUGUCGGCGAUGAUCACGCAAAAAACGCAGCUUUUUUUUCAUUCCAUUACAAGCAGAUAAGAAGGAUUUCAACAACUCGCAUUGUGAAAAUCAUUGGAAUAGAAAGUGGCCGUUAAAAAGAAUGACGGACGUUUUCCAUUGUCCAUUUCAACAUAGGCUACCUCGAUAAACCUAAUAACCACAGUGAAUGGAAAGGAAAAGGAUUGUUUGGCUUCUUGGCCGGACCACUAUGCUACAGAAACAUCUGUCUUUAGAAAGCGAAACAACGGAGGAAACAUGAAUAACUUACCAUGGCCGUUAAGUUGAGCAAGUUACCGAAGUGGCUGACGGCCUUCCAUUUAUGGAUGGUAUACCAUCUGUCGGCGAGACCAAAUACGUAAACCAAAUACGUAAACCAAACGCCAAUCAGAAGUAGCAAAGCAGGCAAGGAGAUGUAAAUAUUGCACAGCAUUUGUUCUCACAUGGUGCCUUGGAAGAAAUCACCGCCAUUUAAAAAAAUUGUGUCCGGAUGCUGUUCACGAAUUUUUCGAGCUUGAUGGACCAGACGGGCAUAUCCACCGAAACAAUUGCCAUCCUCCGAGUCUCGUUGUUUGCACGCCCCACCGAGUUUGUUGGCCUCUUCGAAACGGCAAUGGAUAUCGUUAGUGUGUAGGAUAGUCAAAUUAAACGAAGCUGAUGCCUGCUUGACAACGAAAGAUACACAAAACAGACCCAACAGCCUCAACCACAUGAGUACGGUAUUACGUGUCGACCAGUCCUGCAUUUUCUGCUCAACUGUGGACAAAAUUUUGAGCGUUCAGCGUUAUAUUGCUCACCAAACUGGAAAUAGGCGUCGCCACAAGCUGUCUACUAGCUUUCGGAGAGAGGAGACUAAAUCCGAAGGACGUAACCAGCAAGAGUCAUCUCCUAUUCAAAUAAAUUUCAAUUGGACUCUAUCGAGAAUCAAACCCUUAAUUAGCGGCACACCUAUCCCAUGCUCGACCAUUGAGCCAUGAUUCACAUUUUAUUGCUCACUAUUUCUCCAUAUGAUUUAGGAUUCCCUUCGGGAUUCGGGUUGCUAUAAGAAGCUAGCCCAGAUGCCAAUCGUCUUGAUCCCUCUCCCUUUGAUUGCGAUUCGAGUCAACGCAUUCCAUCAUGCCAGCGAUUGCAGACGUUGUUCGACCAUUCUUUUCACAGGAUUUUAUGACUGGACUUCCUGCAAUUCCUGAUACCAUCUGUCCUAAGAGGUUGUAGACAAGAUGGCUGAAGCCGUCUUAACUGUUCCAGCAAUUUCCAAGGUCCUGUAUGACCUGACGGCGAAACCACCGGAGAAAACGGAGUGGGGAUGAUUUGAUUUACGAACGUUGCUUAGGCAAAUGAUCUCCACACUCUUUAUAGGACAAGGAUACGGAGUUUUAUCAUGACCAGACUUAGAUGGGAGAUAUUACGAACAUUGGAUUCAGUAUAGACUUUUGAAAUUAAAAAAUUUAUUAGCUUUGUCGUCUCGUGAAAAUCUCUUUAACUCGCUUUUUAAGAGGAGUUCACGUGAUGACUUGUCUAUUUCUUAAUAUACGUGCACACUUGUCGGAAA
rnacentral:lncRNA from 1 species